rnacentral:rRNA from 1 species
GACGAACGCUGGCGGCGUGCUUAACACAUGCGAGUCGAACGGAAAGGCCCUGCUUUUGUGGGGUGCUCGAGUGGCGAACGGGUGAGUAACACGUGAGUAACCUGCCCUUGACUUUGGGAUAACUUCAGGAAACUGGGGAUAAUACCGGAUAGGAGCUCCUGCUGCAUGGUGGGGGUUGGAAAGUUUCGGCGGUUGGGGAUGGACUCGCGGCUUAUCAGCUUGUUGGUGGGGUAGUGGCUUACCAAGGCUUUGACGGGUAGCCGGCCUGAGAGAGUGACCGGCCACAUUGGGACUGCGAUACGGCCCAGACUCCUACGGGAGGCAGCAGUGGGGAAUAUUGCACAAUGGGCGGAAGCCUGAUGCAGCAACGCCGCGUGCGGGAUGACGGCCUUCGGGUUGUAAACCGCUUUCGCCUGUGACGAAGCGUGAGUGACGGUAAUGGGUAAAGAGGCACCGGCUAACUACGUG